GUGCCAGCAUCUGCGGUAAUUCCAGCUCCAAUAGCGUAUAUGUAAAUUGUUGCGGUUGAAAAGCUCGUAGUUGGACUUCUGGCGUCCGGGUUCGGUCCGCCACGAGCGAGUACUGGAUCCGGUCGUCGUUUGUGUCGACGAGGUUCGUCGGACUUCACUGGCUGGCGUUCUCCAGUCGACAGGGUUACUUUGAGGAAAUCAGAGUGCUCAAGGCAAGCGCACGCUCUUGACUUCACUAGCAUGGAAUAACACAGAUGGGCUCUUUUUCGCAACGUUGGUCUGCGUCAAUUGAGCAACGAUCGAUAGAGACGGUCGGGGGCAUUCGUAUUGCGCAGUUAGAGGUGAAAUUCUCCGAUCUGCGCAAGACGCACUAAUGCGAAAGCAGUUGCCAAGGACGUCCUCUUAUGAUCAAGAGCGAAAGUCGGGGGAUCAAAGAUGAUUAGAUACCGUCGUAGUCCCGACCAUAAAUGAUGCCGACUGAGCGUCGGCGACUCGGCCUUCGGCCGUACGUCGGCGCUCUUGAGAGAAAUUAAAGUCUUUGGGCUCCGGGGGUAGUAUGGUCGCAAGGCUG
rnacentral:rRNA from 1 species